GCCGGCGCCGCCCACAGGACAAGGGCCCAUCCUGCAGGGCGAGGCCUCCCGGCCAGGCCCGCAGCAGGCGCCGGUCGGUGCGCCUUGGCAGAUAGGGGAGGCACAGGUCGCCGGCCCCGGCUCCCUGCCCAGUCCGUGGACCGCCGUGCCGUCGCUCUCCAGGCGCGCGGCCGCAGAUCCUUCCGAGCUGAGGCGCAUCGCGUCGGCCAAGCGGGGCGGCGACAACGCGCCGGUGAGCCAGCGCCGGCAGGAACGGAGCAUGACUGGUGCCGCGCGCGCUCAGGGGCCUCCAGUUCCUCGACCAGAGCGUGGUCACGCAGGGCAGCUGGCCCGAGGUAGAGAAGCGGUUUGACCGCCUCGCCGUCGACGGCCUGCUCCUCCGCUCGCGCUUCAGCAAGUGCAUUGAACUACUGCCAUGAUUCUGAAAUGAUCCUCCCAAGUUUGUGUUCAAGGGAUGGUUGGAUCGGAGGAAUUCGCGGCGCAGAUGGUCGACGCCCUUACACAGCGAAGGGGGAUCGUUGCUCAGGUGCUGACCAAGGAUGAGCUGAGGGAGUUCUGGGAGCAGCUAUCAGAUUCAGGUUCUUGGUUGUCUCAGUUUGUUUCAACGCGUUCAGGUUCCGGGAGUAUAUCACAGAUAACAUUAAGUUCAGUUUGUUUCAACGCGUUCAGGUUCAGGGAGUAUAUCACAGAUAACAUUAGAUUCAGUUUGUUUCAACACAAGAGCAGUUGUUUAUGUCAGGUUUUGAUCUGUCAAGUUGUUGUUCUGUCAAGAUCAAAUUUCUGUGACCAAAUGUUCAGAGACCAAAUGAUCUUAGACUUGCUCUUAGUUAUUGGAUCUUGAACUUGCAGUGAUAAACAUGAUAAACAAUACUAGGACCCCCAAGAAACUGUAUUCAGUGAUCUUGCUAAAGAAGCUACAGAAACAUCAUUAUAAUGUGCAUUUCAAUCAGACUUGAGAUGCGUAUAACACAGUAGUAUAGCAGGAUAACUGGACAAGAAGCAUUGGAGAAAAUUACUGUCUAUCCCAGGAUUACUUAUUUGUUUUCAUCACACAUUAGAGUUUUUUGUUCUCCACUUGUGUGUACACUGAAGCUACUAGAUUUGGUACGUGUCCAUCUUUGUUCUUGGUUAUUAGGUCCAUCUUGCAAAGAUUUGGUACUUGUCCAUCUUGCAAACAGAAGAAACAGAGGAUGCUUAUCAGGUCCAUCUUGCAAAGAUGCCUCAGACCCAGCAAAAGAUGAACAAAGAUUUGGUUUCAUUGCAAGUUUUGGACAGCAUUCAAGCUUAUCAGGGACGCACGGAAUUUCUCUUCUUUCUCUUUCUCUGCUUCGAAGGUGGUGCCGCUUGGAGGGUACUGCUGCUUGGAGGAUGCUGCUGCUCUUCUUUCCCUUUAUCUGCUUCUUUCCCUUUCUUUGCUUGGAGGGUGCUGUUGCUCUUCUUUCUCUUUAUCUGCUUCGAAGGUGGUGGUGCUGCUGCUGCUGCUUGUAGGGUACCGCUUCUUGGAGGAUGUUGCUGGUCUUCUUUCCCUUUCUCUGCUCAGAGGGUGAUGCUGCUCCUCUUUCUCUUUCUCUGCUUCAAAGGUGCUGCUGCUGCUGCCUCGAGGUCUGCUGCUGCUAUAAGUGCUAAGGUUUGCUCAACUAGCUCAACGUUUAUAGAGAGAGGGAUAGGAAGCCUUCCUUCUUGCUGCCGGCGCUCUUUUUGCAUGUGAGGAAUCUUGUAGCAUAUCCCUCCUUUUUCUCUCAUAAUCUCGCUCAUGCAUGAUUGCAGUGUCACGAAGCUUCGAGCUAACGUGUUGACAUCAUAAUUUCGAUAUUCUUCCUCCGCGCCUUUUAUCAAUUCCCUUAUGCUGUGAGGUGCUCUACAAUCGGUAUGCGACUGGAGAGACCUGAAGAAGCAGAGAUCAAGAAUAUUCAGGUCGGGGCUAUUUGGAGGUUGCUGGAUCAACUUGAUAUCCAGACCGGUCUGUUCUACGGCCCGUCGAAAAACCUCGUCACUAGGCUUAAGAUGCGGUGUAGCAUUAUCUUGCUCGAUAAAGAUUGUCUGUUCUUCAUCUUCAUCGGGCCACAGGUCAUGGAUAGCUGGAAUCAGUUUCUGACACAUAUAGACCCUCAUUACAUCUCUUGUAACUUCCAAUGAUUUGAGUUCAAGUGUCCCUCUUUCUCUAUUUUCACUCCUUCUUUGAGCCGGAGACUCUGUGACAAAGGCCCAAAUGCCUAUCUUUCCAUUAAACGUGACGACACUAAGAUUGCCAUAUCUUGGUUUAGCCACGGCCGCAAGAAACAUCACCUUCGCAAUGCUAUCCUUAUGAUGCAAGGUGCGUAAGGGAUCAGGUUUUUCGGGAAGCAGCAAGUAGCCGUCCUCCUCCUGUGUCAGAUUGAACCAUUUCUCAUCCAUAUAAACUAUGUCAUCUAAUUCCCGGAAAUGUGGCCAGAGAGUUCUCAGCCAAUUCUCAUCAGCCAUAGAAAUGCAAAAUCUCAAUCUCUCUAUCUCGUUGGCUGGCUUUAUUGUGGGCCUCAGUUUGACACGUCCUUCGGUCCGAGGGAUGCAAAGUGGAUCUUUGUUCUUAGCACAACUAAGACCUUGUAUGUUGGUCAGGUAAAUAUACACAUUGUAUAGGCAGACCUAAUAUAAUCAUCUGUAGAAAUGCCAGUUCAGUGUGUGAUAUGAAUCUUGCCAUUGUAAAUUGCAGAAGAAGAAAGGUAAAUUUCAGCAUUCUAGCUUUCUUGCAUUGCUAUCAGAAUUCAGAAACCUGCUUGGGUGUGAACUCAGCAAAACAAAAGUCUCCACCUCCUCUCUAUUUCCUCCUAGAUUUUGAUUUGUCAAGUCAAAGCAUGCAAGCCAGCAAGCCAGCCAAGGAAGAAACAAAGAUAGAUCACUCUGUGUUACUGGAGUUUCCUGGCUGACCUUAGAAGAAUUGACUUAAGAUGUCAGUGUUAGUUCUGUAGAGAUCAUGGUAAUUAAUUCGUGUACCAUGUUUCUUAUCAAAUUGAUUUUGCAGUAAACACUGUAAAAUGGCCCUCGUUGGUUUAUCACAGCUAUGGUGUGCAAACUCUUCAGUUUGCUGUCUUUGAUCCUACAGCCGGGUCCUUCAGUAUGUCGGAUUAGGAUCUUAACUGGAGCGCCAAUGAACACUUACAACAGCUGGGUGAUCUUAACUGGAUUGGGAAUGGGAUUUCCCUUUUCGUAAUUGGUAAUCACAGUGAUCAGCAGUACCACUUGGGUUCCAUUCCAUCGGCAAGUGCAAGUGCAAGUGGGGAUGACCCCUGUGGCCACGAACCUGGCCGUGGAAAUGCAGGGACGCCUGCCCACGCUACAGCAAGGAGGAGGGGAAGAUGGAGCCGCGGCGCCUGAGCCUGGCAGCGGCGGAAGAUGGAGGCCCGGCGCCUGAGCCUGGCUGCGGCGGAGACGGAGCUCGAUGUGCUGGAGUCGCCGGCGCUGUCUUGCUGCCGGCGAUGGAGCUGGAGGUACUCGGAGGUGGGGAGCUCGAGGUGCUGGGUGCGGGAGCUCGAGGACCUGACGCCGGCGACGGGGCCCUAGUGCUGGGGAUGGAGCUCGAGGUUUUGGCCGGCGGGAGAUCGAGGUUCUGGCCGGUGGACGGAGGUUCCCCGCGGUGGAUCACGACGAGCGGACGGAGCGACGAGCGGACGGAGAACUGGAUACUGGAUUGUAAUGAUUUCAAAUUUCGGAAGGGUCUUAUUGUAAAAUUGAUUUGUUCACGAUUCCUCCCCCUGGAGUCAUCUAUUACCGAACGGAGGGAGUACUAGCUACUAGCUAGUUCCGUGCAUCUCUCAUUGAUUCUAGCUAGUUUCAUCAAUACCAUUUAGCAUGCUUGCUUGUCAGUUUGAUUGACCUCUA